UUUUUUUAUAUCAACUGAAUUCACAUUAUAUGGUUGUUUUUCUUGUCUGAAAUUUUUCGUUGUUGUAGCCAGCUCUCAGAAGGUGAAAGUUUAGGUUGUAAUCUUGUUGUUGCCUCUUCCUUUUUCAGUAGUCUUAUUAUUUGUAGUUUCUGUGUGUAUCAUUCUAGGGUCUUCAACUGUUAUGAAUGUUGGUUCCUUGUUAGUAUCUCCCCUUCUCACUGAAGCCAAUUUUUAGUCCUCCAUCUUUAUGUUUUCUGGACAUGAGCUUCCGCUUUCCAAACAAAAAUAAUAAUAAUAAAAUUGAAUUCCUUUUAUUGCUCAACUCAAAUCUAUUUUUUAUCCAUUAUUGUUCUUUUGAAUUCGUAAAAACUGUUCGCUGUGGAUAUAUUUUGUGUUUUAUGAAGACUUAAGAGAUUGUGCACUUGAGAAAAAAAGGAACAUACUUUCGAAGCAUGUGAGAAAAUUAUGGUGCAACUUUUGUUUCUCAAAUCUUUACCUUGAAUUCAUUUAUCUGAACAUCCAAUUCUCUAAUCUUAAAAUUUUAUUAUAUCUCUAGGGAAUUUUUAUUCGAACUAGCUGAUAACGCAAUAUAUUUUAUAUGAUGGACAAGGUUGAGAAGUCAACUAAAAAAGCUUGUAAGAGUUCUAAACGUUGAAGUACUGCAAUUGUCGUAGCAAUUCAAGAGACCAAUAAAAGACUAAGAGUUUCCAGUUUCCAGUGAAGCCAAAAAUACUAUAUCUACUCCAAUUAUCGAUGAGCAAAACCCACCGCCAUCAAAUGUAAGUGCUCCAAAGAAGAAAAGAGGCCCAACUCAAGUGAAAAUGGUUCCUGAACAUAAUUAUAAAAAAAAUGGAGCUUGAAUUCAAUGAAUUUGGGCAAGUAGUUGGCAAUAACUCCAAUAAAUUUGCUAGCGUUGUUGGAGCCAUGGUACGAGAAUAUGUACCUAUUACAAUUAAAGACUGGCAUUCAACGGAUGAAAAGAAAAAAAAUGGAACUUUGGACUUUCAUACAGG